CAAAAUAUGUACGAAUGCACAGUGCAAUACUAAAAUACACUAAAUUCUACAAAUUUAUGUUUUAAUUUUAAAAUGUUCAUAUAAAUCUAUACAGUUUGAAAAAUCAUAUAUAUUAGACAUACCGAUAACGAAGAUAUAUUUCGAUCGAAAAAAUAAAACAGUCUUACGAGCUCCGUGAUCCAGACGCAAAUGAAAUGAGACGUGUGACGACCGGAUAUGGCAGAGUUAUAAACGGAAAUUUAAGCAACAGAGGUGACUAUUAAUUAUGUUAAAUCUAGUCAAUGACCAUAAAUAUAAACCGUUGUUGUUACGCCACUAGACAGUGCGCACGGCUUAUGAUGUACACGUGCAGUGCGCGAAAACGAACUGCGGCCGCAGACAAUAUUAUUGUUGCGUUUAACGCCGUCGCAGCCCGUUUUAAAUAAGACGGUUACUGGUUGCGAUGCAGCAGGUCGCCGCCCAACGGAGAGUCGCUGCGUUUGCUCUUCACUGAUAUCACAAAAUUUAAAAAAAUAAUGUUUGAACAGGAGCCCAUUAACAAUGAAUGGAUCGAAGUUCAAAUUAUGAGCCAAAUUGAAACAAGAUAUGAUAUAUUUAAAAUUUAAAAUUAAUUUUUAUUAUACGUAUAUAGUUAUGAUAUACCUACGUCCUAUGUACUCCUACACAUAUUAAAAGCAUGAAUGUAUAUAUUAACA